rnacentral:rRNA from 1 species
AUUGAACGCUGGCGGCAUGCCUUACACAUGCAAGUCGAACGGUAACGCGGGGCAACCUGGCGACGAGUGGCGAACGGGUGAGUAAUGUAUCGGAACGUGCCCAGUUGUGGGGGAUAACUGCUAGAAAGAGCAGCUAAUACCGCAUACGACCUGAGGGUGAAAGCGGGGGAUCGCAAGACCUCGCGCAAUUGGAGCGGCCGAUAUCAGAUUAGGUAGUUGGUGGGGUAAAGGCCCACCAAGCCAACGAUCUGUAGCUGGUCUGAGAGGACGACCAGCCACACUGGGACUGAGACACGGCCCAGACUCCUACGGGAGGCAGCAGUGGGGAAUUUUGGACAAUGGACGCAAGUCUGAUCCAGCCAUGCCGCGUGCGGGAAGAAGGCCUUCGGGUUGUAAACCGCUUUUGUCAGGGAAGAAAAGGGCGACUCUAAUACAGUUGCCUCAUGACGGUACCUGAAGAAUAUGCACCGGCUAACUACGUGCCAGCCGCCGCAGUAAGAC